GCGGGGCGGGGGCACGGGGGGCCUACGGGAGGCAGCAGUGGGGAAUAUUGUGCAAUGGGGGAAACCCUGACACAGCGACGCCGCGUGAGCGAAGAAGGCCUUCGGGUCGUAAAGCUCAAUAGUAUGGGAAGAAGGGUACCAUACGAAAGCCCCGGCUAACUACGUGC
rnacentral:rRNA from 1 species